AGAGUUUGAUCAUGGCUCAAAUUGAACGCUGGCGGCAUGCCUUACACAUGCAAGUCGAACGGCAGCACGGGGGCAACCCUGGUGGCGAGUGGCGAACGGGUGAGUAAUACAUCGGAACGUGUCCUGGAGUGGGGGAUAGCCCGGCGAAAGCCGGAUUAAUACCGCAUACGAUCUCUGGAUGAAAGCGGGGGACCGGCCUCGCGCUCAAGGGGCGGCCGAUGGCAGAUUAGCUAGUUGGUGGGGUAAAGGCCUACCAAGGCGACGAUCUGUAGCUGGUCUGAGAGGACGACCAGCCACACUGGGACUGAGACACGGCCCAGACUCCUACGGGAGGCAGCAGUGGGGAAUUUUGGACAAUGGGGGCAACCCUGAUCCAGCAAUGCCGCGUGUGUGAAGAAGGCCUUCGGGUUGUAAAGCACUUUUGUCCGGAAAGAAAACUUCCUGGUUAAUACCUGGGGAGGAUGACGGUACCGGAAGAAUAAGCACCGGCUAACUACGUGCCAGCAGCCGCGGUAAUACGUAGGGUGCAAGCGUUAAUCGGAA
rnacentral:rRNA from 1 species